rnacentral:rRNA from 1 species
AAACUUUCAACAACGGAUCUCUUGGCUCUCGCAUCGAUGAAGAACGCAGCGAAAUGUGAUAAGUAAUGUGAAUUGCAGAAUUCAGUGAAUCAUCGAAUCUUUGAACGCAUCUUGCACUCCUUGGUAUUCCGAGGAGUAUGCCUGUUUGAGUGUC